rnacentral:rRNA from 1 species
UACGUAGGCAGCGAGCGUUGUUCGGAGUUACUGGGCGUAAAGAGUGCGUAGGCGGUUUUCUAAGUUUGGUGUGAAAUCUCCCGGCUCAACUGGGAGGGUGCGCCGAAGACUGGAAGGCUUGAGUAUGGGAGAGGUAAGCGGAAUUCCUGGUGUAGCGGUGAAAUGCGCAGAUAUCAGGAAGAACACCCGUGGCGAAGGCGGCUCUCUGGGACGGUACUGACGCUGAGGUGCGAAAGCCAGGGGAGCAAACGGG